rnacentral:rRNA from 1 species
AGUGAACGCUGGCGGUAGGCCUAACACAUGCAAGUCGAACGGCAGCACAGUAAGAGCUUGCUCUUACGGGUGGCGAGUGGCGGACGGGUGAGGAAUACAUCGGAAUCUACUUUUUCGUGGGGGAUAACGUAGGGAAACUUACGCUAAUACCGCAUACGACCUACGGGUGAAAGCAGGGGAUCUUCGGACCUUGCGCGAUUGAAUGAGCCGAUGUCGGAUUAGCUAGUUGGCGGGGUAAAGGCCCACCAAGGCGACGAUCCGUAGCUGGUCUGAGAGGAUGAUCAGCCACACUGGAACUGAGACACGGUCCAGACUCCUACGGGAGGCAGCAGUGGGGAAUAUUGGACAAUGGGCGCAAGCCUGAUCCAGCCAUACCGCGUGGGUGAAGAAGGCCUUCGGGUUGUAAAGCCCUUUUGUUGGGAAAGAAAAGCAGCAGGUUAACACCCCGCUGUCCUGACGGUACCCAAAGAAUAAGCACCGGCUAACUUCGUG